rnacentral:rRNA from 1 species
CCUACGGGAGGCAGCAGUGGGGAAUAUUGGACAAUGGGGGGAACCCUGAUCCAGCCAUGCCGCGUGUGUGAAGAAGGCCCUCGGGUUGUAAAGCACUUUCAGUGAGGAAGAACGCCUGUUGGUUAAUACCCAUCAGGAAAGACAUCACUCACAGAAGAAGCACCGGCUAACUCCGUGCCAGCAGCCGCGGUAAUACGGAGGGUGCGAGCGUUAAUCGGAAUUACUGGGCGUAAAGCGCGCGUAGGUGGCUUGAUAAGCCGGUUGUGAAAGCCCCGGGCUCAACCUGGGAACGGCAUCCGGAACUGUCAAGCUAGAGUGCAGGAGAGGAAGGUAGAAUUCCCGGUGUAGCGGUGAAAUGCGUAGAGAUCGGGAGGAAUACCAGUGGCGAAGGCGGCCUUCUGGACUGACACUGACACUGAGGUGCGAAAGCGUGGGUAGCAAACAGGAUUAGAUACCCCGGUAGUC